rnacentral:tRNA from 1 species
GGCUGGCUGGCUCAGUUGAUAGAGCAUGUGACUCUUAAUCUCAGGAUUGUGAGUUCAAGCCCCAUGUAGGGCA